AGGAUUAUAGUUUAUAUAUAAAACAUUUGAUUUGCAUUCAAAAAAAAUAGAUUAAAUCAAUUUAUCUUA
rnacentral:tRNA from 1 species